CGGAUUGCAGGCUGCAACUCGCCUGCAUGAAGCUGGAAUUGCUAGUAAUCGCGGAUCAGCAAGCCGCGGUGAAUACGUUCCCGGGCCUUGUACACACCGCCCGUCACACCAUGAGAGUUGAGAAUACCCGAAGCCCAUGUCAAAGUGGUCGAAGGUAGGCUUGAUGAUUGGGGUGAAGUCGUAACAAGGUAUC
rnacentral:rRNA from 1 species